rnacentral:rRNA from 1 species
UACAGAGGUCUCAAGCGUUGUUCGGAUUCAUUGGGCGUAAAGGGUGCGUAGGUGGCGCGGUAAGUCGGGUGUGAAAUCUUGGAGCUUAACUCCGAAACUGCAUUCGAUACUGCCGUGCUUGAGGACUGGAGAGGAGACUGGAAUUCCCGGUGUAGCGGUGAAAUGUGUAGAGAGUCGGGAGGAACACCGGUGGCGAAGGCGGGUCUCUGGGCAAUUCCUGACGCUGAGGCGCGAAAGCGUGGGGAGCAAACGGG